CCACCUUCCCCACAUGUAUAUCAAAUCAACAUUUUCCAUCCGACACCCGACGCGCAGAUCAAGAUCCGUCUUGACGCCAGCGCCAACGGCUGCAGCGGCAUGUUCUGGCGCUCCAAGCCCGACAUGAACGCCAGCGUGUCGGCGCCCGACUGGCCGCGCAACGGCGCCGUGUUCCUGGUGGGUGGGAUGGGGUGGGAUGGGGUGGGGUGGGAUGGGGUGGGAUGGGGUGGGAUGGGGUGGCCGAGGGACGGCGGUUUGUUGGGGGAGAUUAGGGAUUGAGAGGUGGAAUGGGAGGCAAGUGGCAGGCCGGGCGGGAGAAAGAGGGGGAGGCUGAGACGCUUCGGAGUCAACAUCUGCCCGUGUGUCGGGCCGCACGUGCAUCACGUGUCGUUGGCGAGGUUUUCGACCUGCCGCUUGCAGGGCUGGAAGAGCCAGGAGCACCCCGGCUGGGUCAAGGUGGACCACGAGAAGGGCUACUGGUGAGGGGGGCGGGCAAGGGGGGUUGGAGGGUUGGGUGCCGUCAAGAACAGCGAGUACGCGGCAGCUUGGCAGAGCAAGGGGGCUCUACAAAGUGGUGCACGGGGCAGUAAGCGAUGCUGAUGGGUGGUGUCACAUGCGCGUUGGGCCACGUGCAAAUGUGUUGCGACUGUCAGGUGGGGAGCUCAGUCUUGCAUGACCGCAUUCGCAUGCCGUGGCCCUGAGUUCGUCUGCCCCACACGCCCAUGCGGUGCACUCAACCGCAGGAUGCCCAUCGAGCAGCACGGCAAGCCGGUGAGUGGGGGCUGAGGACGUGGGCGCUCCCUGGUCUCCUCGGGUCUGCACGGUCCCACGCCAUGUCCUGUCCCACGCCCUGGCGUGACAGCAUAGCGUGCUAAGGGGCAAACGAGCAAACGCACGGUAGGGGCAAACGGUACUGCUUCUGCGGUACUGACGCCAGCGCCCCUGUCCCUCUGCCGCCUGCCUCGUUCGCCGCUGGGAACGUCCACAGGUCUGCCACUUCGACGCCAAGUAAACGGGAGUGGAGCAGGACGUAAUGAGGCGCGGGCAUGGCUCGGUGUGACUAGACCUGGUGUGGUGUGAGCAACGCACGGUGCUAGGUGCAGGGCGCGCAUAGUGUUUUGGGGCGGGUCGAGUGUGUAUGUGUGUAAAACGAUACCGGCACAGCUGAGCACGCAACUUCGUCGGCUGCGCUGUGUGUAGUCCAGGAGGACAGAACGCGCCUGGCGGGCCAGGCACGCCAAUGAUGACACUACUAGGCAUGGGGUUGCGUUGAUGCUGUAAUUAAUCAUGCGGCGGGUUUGGGCCGGAAUCGGGCCUUGAUGUUGCCUGGGUAUUCCGGUCACGAUCUUUCCGGACGCAUGAUGGCACUUGAGAGAGCAUUGCUGACCGCUUGUUGAUGGCCGUUCAAGGGCUACCCCGCCGGCCCGGGCGCCCGGUUUCCACAAGGCAGGAAGGCGCACAACGAACUUGUGCACCUCGUACGCACCACGAAGAUGUGCACCGCCUUGUAACCACACCCGCUUGCAGCGGCGGUGGGUGGUGAGGCGGCAAGGUCAAUCGGGGAAAGCGGCUGAUCCGAAUCGAGUCCCAAGUCAGUCCGAGGUCAUACAGAGUAUCACACACGCUUUUGUGAUUUUGUCCGUUGCAGAUUUGGAUGCAAAUGUUCGGACCAGCCCAGCCAUCCGAAUUCGGACGCGCCCAGCCCAGACCAAGCAACCACACCCGCCCAGUGCCCCGCCUGCUGCUCUUGUGUGGUGUCUGCAGACACCGUUGCGUGUCCUGUCCUGCCCUUGUCAUGUAGCAGCGGCUCCCUGCCGGCCCGUGCCUGACGCUGUCCUCACACCCUACGGUAUGCUUGCUCCUUUGUCCCAUUGGAUACCUCAUCCCGCUCCUUCGGCUCCGCACAUGCGCCUCCAUUUACCACCUGCACAAACAGUUACCAAGGGCAUGGUGACAAGCCUGUCCCCAUCAAGGUCACGCCGCGAGAUAUGCAUACGCAUGUCUUUGCACACGCAUGUCUUUGUGCUGUGCGCCCCCAAACCUGACUUAUCAUCAAAACGCAAAAGCGCCCUUGCCAGCAGCGCAUGCAACAAUGCAGAGCGCCCACACGAAGUUUGACAUGACGAUAAGGCCGUUGGGGAACUGUGAGCAGAUGUUUGCAUGCAAAAGCCGCAGUUGCAAACUACCGUAUCGGGACCCCGUGCAAAGCGCAGGCAGGCGGCAGGGCAAACGUAUGGUUGUUGACCGCGACAGCAAAACCCUGUUGUAGACGCUUUGAGCUGAUACCAUGCGAGUUCUCAGUCAGAGAAUACGCAUACGCACACCCACACACCCGCACAUGCGCCCACGCCCGCGCCCACGCCCACACCCACACCCACGCACACGCGCACGCACAGCGGCGCAGGGACACACGCACACGCACACGAUCGCCCACACACGGACAAACACACGUCCCCCGUGAAGGUGCGUCGCCUCACCCAAGCGAGCUGCCGUCCGCCGUUGUCGUUCUAGGCCAUGCUACGUGAUUAUUAUAAAGUCUACAAAGUAUUGCGUUGCGCAGUGUUGAGAUUACUCAUCGUAGACAGGGUCGCGCUCCUUGGGCCCCAGACUUGUUUGCUGGUGUGCAACACACAGUACUGCAUACAAGUGUUCUGUAGUGUGCAUAAGCAGGCGCUAGAAGCAGGAUUUGAGCUUGUUGAUUAUAAGGGCCCCGGGGAUCGCUAUCGUGAACGUAGGAAAUGUAAGCGCAGGGCGAGGUGUUCCACAGGUAUUGCAGUUUAUGUACAGGUUAAUACAGAAUACAAAAAGUACUAACCUGCUUUGUCAGCUGUGCUCGGCGAUGGCGACUUUACACUGCCGGUCUAUGAACUGAAACUGUAUGAGAAUCAAGAAGCCACUGCCAAUGCUUACAGUUACAGGCACUACUUUGUUGGCGGCGGGCGGCCCUCCUUUGUGCCCGCCAUCCGAAUAAUCAAUCGAUCGCUCGGCCUGCCGGCCUGCCCUCCCAGCUACGGACCAGCUUUGGACGGUGAACCCCGGUUUCGGAGGCCUCUGUUUUCCCCGAGUACCGCGCCCGGCCGGCGCGCCGGUGAUGUUGAG
rnacentral:lncRNA from 1 species